rnacentral:rRNA from 1 species
GACGAACGCUGGCGGCGUGCUUAACACAUGCAAGUCGAACGCUGAAGCCUGGCUUUUGUUGGGUGGAUGAGUGGCGAACGGGUGAGUAACACGUGAGUAACCUGCCCCCUUCUUUGGGAUAACGCCCGGAAACGGGUGCUAAUACUGGAUAUUCACUGGUCUUCGCAUGGGGGUUGGUGGAAAGGGUUUUCUGGUGGGGGAUGGGCUCGCGGCCUAUCAGCUUGUUGGUGGGGUGAUGGCCUACCAAGGCUUUGACGGGUAGCCGGCCUGAGAGGGUGACCGGUCACAUUGGGACUGAGAUACGGCCCAGACUCCUACGGGAGGCAGCAGUGGGGAAUAUUGCACAAUGGGCGCAAGCCUGAUGCAGCGACGCCGCGUGAGGGAUGGAGGCCUUCGGGUUGUGGACCUCUUUCGCUUCAAGGU